rnacentral:rRNA from 1 species
CAGCAGCCGCGGUAAUACGUAGGUGGCAAGCGUUGUCCGGAAUUAUUGGGCGUAAAGCGUGCGCAGGCGGUUCGUUAAGACAGAUGUGAAAUCCCCGGGCUUAACCUGGGAACUGCAUUUGUGACUGGCGAGCUAGAGUAUGGCAGAGGGGGGUAGAAUUCCACGUGUAGCAGUGAAAUGCGUAGAGAUGUGGAGGAAUACCGAUGGCGAAGGCAGCCCCCUGGGCCAAUACUGACGCUCAUGCACGAAAGCGUGAGGAGCAAACAGGAUUAGAUACCCCCGUAGUCCCUGUCUCUUAUAC